UCGAUGAAGAACGCAGCAAACUGCGAUACUUGGUGUGAAUUGCAGAAUCCCGUGAACCAUCGAGUCUUUGAACGCAAGUUGCGCCCGAAGCCAUUAGGCCGAGGGCACGUCUGCCUGGGCGUCACGCAUCGCGUCGCCCCCGAGCAAAUCUCGACGAAAGCGGUUGCGAGGGGACGGAGAAUGGCCUCCCGUGCUUGGACGGCCGGUUGGCUGAAGUGCGUGUCCUUCGCGACGGGCGUCGCGACAAGUGGUGGUUGAAACAUUCCGCACGCGUCUCUGUCGCGCCGGCGCCGGUCGCACGUGAAGGGCGUGGAGGCCCUCUGUCGCGAGCGUCGUUUCCGUACGCUCUUCCACGACCGCGACCCCAGGUCAGGCGGGGCUACCCGCUGAGUUUAAGCAUAUCAAUAGG
rnacentral:rRNA from 1 species